UCACUACCUGACAAUACAGU
rnacentral:miRNA from 1 species